AGUACAGGAGAGGAAAGCGGAAUUCCUAGUGUAGCGGUGAAAUGCGUAGAUAUUAGGAAGAACACCAGUGGCGAAGGCGGCUUUCUGGACUGAAACUGACGCUGAGGCUCGAAAGCGUGGGGAGCAAACAGGAUUAGAUACCCUGGUAGUCCACGCCGUAAACGAUGAGUGCUAGGUGUCGGGGAGGAAUCCUCGGUGCCGCAGCUAACGCAAUAAGCACUCCACCUGGGGAGUACGACCGCAAGGUUGAAACUCAAAGGAAUUGACGGGGGCCCGCACAAGCGGUGGAGCAUGUGGUUUAAUUCGAAGCAACGCGAAGAACCUUACCAAGGCUUGACGUCCCGAUGACCGCUCUAGAGAUAGAGCUUCUCUUCGGAGCAUCGGUGACAGGUGGUGCAUGGUUGUCGUCAGCUCGUGUCGUGAGAUGUUGGGUUAAGUCCCGCAACGAGCGCAACCCUUAUCUUCAGUAGCCAUCAUUCAGUUGGGCACUCUGGAGAGACUGCCGUGGAUAACACGGAGGAAGGUGGGGAUGACGUCAAAUCAUCAUGCCCCUUAUGUCUUGGGCUACACACGUGCUACAAUGGCUGGUAACAAAGUGACGCAAAACGGCGACGUUAAGCAAAUCACAAAAACCCAGUCCCAGUUCGGAUUGUAGUCUGCAACUCGACUACAUGAAGCUGGAAUCGCUAGUAAUCGCGAAUCAGCAUGUCGCGGUGAAUACGUUCCCGGGCCUUGUACACACCGCCCGUCACACCAUGGGAGUUGGAAGCACCCGAAGUCGGUGACCUAACCGUAAGGAAGGAGCCGCCGAAGGUGAAGCCAGUGACUGGGGUGAAGUCGUAACAAGGUAACCA
rnacentral:rRNA from 1 species